GAUGAAGAACGUAGCGAAAUGCGAUAAGUAAUGUGAAUUGCAGAAUUCAGUGAAUCAUCGAAUCUUUGAACGCAUCUUGCGCUCCUUGGUAUUCCGAGGAGCAUGCCUGUUUGAGUGUCAUUUUAACUUCUCAACCAUAUCGAGUUGUUUUUCGAGGUGGCUUGGACAUGGGGGUUUUUGCAGGCUUUAAUAAUGAAGUCGGCUCCUCUGAAAUGCAUUAGUGGUAUCUGAAGCAGAACUGCUACUAUUAGGUGUGAUAAUUAUCUAUGCCUCUUGGUAUACUGCAUGAACAGAUUGCGCUGCUUCCAACUUGUACACCCUUUGGUGUUUGACAAAUUUGACCUCAAAUCAGGUAGGACUACCCGCUGAACUUAAGCAUAUCAAUAAGCGGAGGA
rnacentral:misc_RNA from 1 species